rnacentral:tRNA from 1 species
GCGGGGGUAAUUCAGCGGAAGAAUGCCACCCCUCCAAGGUGGACGUCGCGGGUUCGAAUCCCGUCCCCCGCUCCA